rnacentral:rRNA from 1 species
CGAAGGGGCUAGCGUUGCUCGGAAUCACUGGGCGUAAAGGGCGCGUAGGCGGCCGAUUAAGUCGGAGGUGAAAGCCUGUGGCUCAACCACAGAAUUGCCUUCGAUACUGGUUGGCUUGAGACCGGAAGAGGACAGCGGAACUGCGAGUGUAGAGGUGAAAUUCGUAGAUAUUCGCAAGAACACCAGUGGCGAAGGCGGCUGUCUGGUCCGGUUCUGACGCUGAGGCGCGAAAGCGUGGGGGAGCAAACAGGAUU